ensembl:lincRNA Gm29664 predicted gene 29664
AGAAUCUGGACACAGUAUAGUUUGUCUUUUCCAGAAACCAAGGUCCAAAGCCCCAGCGAAGUCACCACUGUGGAUUUAAGGCUUGUGGAAACAUCUCACCAUCCACCAGGGGGCAGAAAGAAUCCCUUUGAUUGGCCAUAGACCUCUAGACUUCAACUAUGGGUUUGAAUAAUGAUUUGCAUGGCCUUUACAGGGUCCCCAACACCUUUUCUCUUAUUAGGGACUCAUUGCUAAAGACUUCAUAAAAGAAAUUCCUAAAAUUCCCAGUAAGCUCUGAACUUCACUGUACCAUUAAAAACCUCUUUAGUCUGAUCCCCGGUAUGAGGCUGUGACAUGCCAGGUCUGCCAUUUGGUGAUAUUUGCAUUUCUAUGGGAUGUGCCUUCUGAGAAUGUGGGAUGUGUUCUGUGAGUCCAUAGGAUCCACUAGAAUGUAGACUCCACUCUCUUUAAUAGGAACACAGAA